UACGUAGGGACCAAGCGUUGUUCGGAUUUACUGGGCGUAAAGCGCGCGUAGGCGGCCCGGUAAGUCCGCUGUAAAAGUCAAAGGCUCAACCUUUGAAUGUCAGUGGAUACUGCCGGGCUAGAGUCCGGAAGAGGCGAGUGGAACUCCUGGUGUAGCGGUGGAAUGCGCAGAUAUCAGGAAGAACACCGACGGCGAAGGCAGCUCGCUGGGACGGUACUGACGCUGAGGCGCGAAAGCGUGGGGAGCGAACAGG
rnacentral:rRNA from 1 species